AAACCAGCACCUCAAGUGGUCAGGAUGAUUAUUGGGCCUAAAGCAUCCGUAGCCUGUUCUGUAAGUUUUCGGUUAAAUCUGUAUGCUCAACAUACAGGCUGCCGGGAAUACUGCAGGACUAGGGAGUGGGAGAGGUAGACGGUACUCGGGAGGAAGUGGUAAAAUGCUUUGAUCUCUCGAUGACCACCUGUGGCGAAGGCGGUCUACCAGAACACGUCCGACGGUGAGGGAUGAAAGCUGGGGGAGCAAACCGGAUUAGAAACCCCGGUAGUCC
rnacentral:rRNA from 1 species